GUACAUUUCAUGACAUUAAAGCAUGAUUGGAGGGAGAAGACAGACAAUGGGACCAUAAGAAUUCAUCCAGACACUAUUUAACUCAUCCAAUUCAUGUCUUAAAGCUACAAAAGCCUAUAAUGUAGCAACAAUCGAGGGAUGUUAAAACAUCCAUGAAUAGGGGCUCUUGGUUUUCAAUUGCUAACUCAUCCCUGUAAAUUCCACUCAGUUACUCAGCAGUGCCAUCUGCUCAUGUUUGAUUAUGAAAAUUCCAACACUUCUUUUGAACCAAAAUACACAAGUUCUCGACUUUAUCAAAAUGCAGAGUAUACAUGUUAUGGUUCU
rnacentral:misc_RNA from 1 species